rnacentral:rRNA from 1 species
UAGGGAAUCUUCCACAAUGGACGAAAGUCUGAUGGAGCAACACCGCGUGAGUGAAGAAGGUUUUCGGAUCGUAAAGCUCUGUUGUUGGUGAAGAAGGAUAGAGGCAGUAACUGGUCUUUAUUUGACGGUAAUCAACCAGAAAGUCACGGCUAACUACGUGCCAC